GACGAACGCUGGCGGCGUGCCUAAUACAUGCAAGUCGAACGCAGUGGGGACGGGUGAGUAACACGUGGGUAACCUCCCAUCAGAGGGGAUAACACUUGGAAACAGGUGCUAAACCGAUACUGAUGGAUGGACCCGGGGUGCAUUAGCCAGUUGGGAAGGGAACGGCUCACCAAGGCCACGAUGCAUAGCCGACCUGUGAAGGUUAUCGGCAACACUGGAACUGAGACACGGCCCAGACUCCUACAGGGGGCAGCAGGAGGGAAUCUUCGGCAAUGGACGAAAGUCUGACCGAGCAACGCCGCGUGAGUGAAAAAGGUUUUCGGAUCGUAAAACUCUGUUGUUAGAGAAGCGGUAUCUAACCAGAAAGCCACGGCGAACUACGUGCCAGCCGCCGCGGUAAAC
rnacentral:rRNA from 1 species